AGCCUCCUGAGUAGCUGGGACUACAGGCGCCCGCCACCGCGCCCGGCUAAUUUUUUGUAUUUUUAGUAGAGACAGGGUUUCACCAUGUUAGUCAAGAUGGUCUUGAUCUCCUGACCUCGUGAUCCACCCGCCUCGGCCUCCCAAAGUGCUGGGAUUUCAGGCGUGAGCCACCGCACCCGGCCUGCCCUGUUCUUAAAGUAAGAAACUGAUGUCUCUGGGAGCCCUGGUCAACUGGAAUUGGGGACUUGGUGCUGCUGGUUUGGUUGAGCUGCCGCUGCUAGGCCAUCUGAACCCACAGCAAGCUGAUGAUAGACUGCAGGAAAAGCUCCAUUCAGAUAGCAAGGGUCCUUCACCAGCCCCAUUCCACGACGCACUCAACGACCCUGCCUCCAAGGAUUGAAAGCCUCUAGCUCCACUCAGAAAGUGUGAUGAGAAAUCCAAAUCACACCAAAGUUGAGUUCUUUGUUGACAUUCCAGAGUCUGAGAAGGGAGCUUGCAUAGGACUGAGU
rnacentral:lncRNA from 1 species